rfam:Schistosoma haematobium scaffold2998_1, whole genome shotgun sequence.
AUCCAGUUGACGAGUCCGAAACGGGACGAAACGUGAGUCCUGGAU